rnacentral:lncRNA from 1 species
UUCAUAACAGCUGAAAACUGGAAAGGACCCAGAUGUCUUUCAGUGGUUAAACACACUGUGGUACGUCCAUGUCAUAAAACACGACUCAGCAAUGAAACUAUCUAUGAACUACUGAUACAGCAACAAUCUGCAUGGACCUCAGGGGGUUAUGCUGAAUGAAAAAAGUCAACCCGAAAGGUUAUAUACUGUUUGAUUCCAUUUACAUAACAUUCUUGAAAUGACAAAGUUCUGGAGAUGAAGAACAGAUCAGUAGCUGCCGGGGGCUAUGGAGGGAGGGGCGGUACACAGGGCAGCACGUGAGGCCCCAGGGAUUGGGGUAUCUUGACCGCAUCCUGGCAGAUGUCUUGGCUGUGACACUGCACUAUCGUUUUGCAGAUGCUUCCACUGGGGAAAGCUGGGUAGAGGGUACACGGGCUCUCUGCAUUACUGAUGACAACUGCAUGUGAUUUACAUGACCCCAAAAUAAAAUAUUUAAUUAAAAGAAACUGAGUUGGGCCCAGUGAACUCAACCAGUCCCUUUCAGCUCUAAAACUAUGUUUUCUGGGUCAGGGGAGGAAACAGGAGGUACAGGAACACUAGAGGGGAGAAAGCACGGAGAGAUGGGAAAAGCACGGAGAGAGAGAUGGGGAAAGGGCAAUCAAGAAGACUGAGAGAAAAGGGGGGAAGCAGAAUGACAGAGGAGGUGUGAAGAGAGAGAAGCCCUCUGGAGUGCUGAAAUACUGAAUAUUCUCCCCUGGGAGCUACUCAGGGUAAGAAUUUCUCCAGGGACUGCUCUUUCGGGCAAGCACAAUUACACACAUUUCUAUGUUAUGUUAAGUAAAAAUCUAGUAAAUGGGCUGGGCACGGUGGCUCACACCUGUAACCCCAGCACUUUGGGAGGCCGAGGCGGGCAGAUCAUGAGGUCAGGAGAUCGAGACCAUCCUGGCCAAUGUGGUGAAACCCCGUCUCUACUAAAAAUACAAAAAUUAGCUGGACGUGGUGAGGGGCGCCUGUAAUCCCAGCUACUCGGGAGGCUGAGGCAGGAGAAUCACUAGAACCAGGGAGUCAGAGGUUGCAGCAAGCCGAGAUCGCGCCACUGCACUCCAGCCUGGCGACAGGGCAAGACUCCGUCUCGAAAAAAAAAAAAAAUUCUAGUAAAUGAAGCGAGUGAUCAGGACAAAACUAGCCUCUCAUCAAUAAAUCAACCAAUAGCGCUUAUCAAGUAUUCAUAUGUCUGCCUCUUCUUCUAGACUACACUAGGGGCUGGUUAACGCUCCUAUGUGCAACAGAACCUCAAACACAUCGUAACACACCUUUGGAGAAUCCUUACAAGAACACCAACUUAACAGUUCUCUCUGACCACACUACCUCAGCAAAAAACCAGGAAGAAAAAAAUAUUCUUCAACCCUUUUCAGGGACAGAAAGCAUCAUUUCAAAAGUCCAAGAAGGGAAGCAAAACUUCUGACCUGAGACAUGGAAGCAGAUAAAAAGCCACUACACAAAAUGUAUCGCUACAACUAGAGGGCAGUUUUGCCUUUCUUCCAUUCAAUUAUUCAGUUUCUCAUGUUCCUAAGUGCCAGCCCAGAACCAUGGAAUGUGAAGAAACACAAAACUCACUCCUCUGCAUCAGUGAAUUGAUUGUGUGGUGGGGAUGUAAGUCUGCAUAUGACCGGCAGGUCCCCAAAGUGGUGCCAAGUCAAUCUAAACUAGAGAGAAUUUUUCUGGCCAGGCCAAGCAGAGAUUUCAUGGAUGAAGUCUCCCAAAGACUGAUUUCCUAAACAUUAAACAUCACUGGUUUUCCAAAACUGGUUUUCUUUUUUUUUUUUUUUAACCCUGUUGCUCGGGCUGGAGGGCAAGUGGUGCCAUCUCCACUCACUGCAGCCUCGACCUCCCAGGCUCCACUGAUCUUCCCACCUCAGCCUCCUGAGUAGCUGGGACUACAGGUGUGCACCGUCACGACUUGCUAAUUUUUGUAUUUUUUUGUAGAGACGGGGUUUUGCUGUGUUGCUCAGGCUGGUCACUCGAUCUGCCCACCUGGGCCUCGCAGAGUGCUGGGGUUACAGGUAUGAGCCACCACGCCCAGCCCACUGGUUUCCUUUACACCCGUUUUGUUCCCCAGCAGUCCUUAUGAGGGCACCUGAAAUAAGGAACCUCCUCCCCGACUUGAGAGCAGCAAAGCCUUCAGAGGGAACUAAGUUAUUAAAACCCACCCCACACAAAAUGCUUCUAAACGCCUUGGCUGACUUAAUCCUUGCAGUGUGCUGAGGUUAAGUAUGAUUAUCCAUCUCCUGUGAACAGGAAGACUGAG